GCUGCAGUUUAACGACUGAAACAGGUAAAAGAUAUAUGUAUACACACACACACACACUCACACCAGAUGUAAACUACAUUAAAAGUUUAUUUUAUGUAAUUCAAAGAUUGUCUGGUAAAGAAUUCAAUGCACUGGUUAAAGAGAAAAAAUAUGUUUAUUAUAUUUAUAUCGAAAGUUGACUUUUCACACCGGGUCGGUGUGAUCGGUUGUAGGAUACUAGAUAAAUAAAGCAUUAGAAGAUACAAGGUGAAAUGACCUCAACCAAAUUUUGAUGAUUCAUUCUCAAACUAUCGUCUAUGAAACUUAUCUCUUUAGUGUUAUGUUUUAAGCUUCGUUUGAAUUAUUUUUCAUAUGAACGAAAUCCUCAUAGGAGAAAGAAAAAAUU